rnacentral:rRNA from 1 species
ACUUGAAUUGAAGAGUUUGAUCAUGGCUCAGAUUGAACGCUGGCGGCAGGCUUAACACAUGCAAGUCGAACGGUAGCAGGAGAAAGCUUGCUUUCUUGCUGACGAGUGGCGGACGGGUGAGUAAUGCUUGGGAAUCUGGCUUAUGGAGGGGGAUAACGACGGGAAACUGUCGCUAAUACCGCGUAUUAUCGGAAGAUGAAAGUGCGGGACUGAGAGGCCGCAUGCCAUAGGAUGAGCCCAAGUGGGAUUAGGUAGUUGGUGGGGUAAAUGCCUACCAAGCCUGCGAUCUCUAGCUGGUCUGAGAGGAUGACCAGCCACACUGGAACUGAGACACGGUCCAGACUCCUACGGGAGGCAGCAGUGGGGAAUAUUGCGCAAUGGGGGGAACCCUGACGCAGCCAUGCCGCGUGAAUGAAGAAGGCCUUCGGGUUGUAAAGUUCUUUCGGUAUUGAGGAAGGUUGAUGUGUUAAUAGCACAUCAAAUUGACGUUAAAUACAGAAGAAGCACCGGCUAACUCCGUGCCAGCAGCCGCGGUAAUACGGAGGGUGCGAGCGUUAAUCGGAAUAACUGGGCGUAAAGGGCACGCAGGCGGUUAUUUAAGUGAGGUGUGAAAGCCCUGGGCUUAACCUAGGAAUUGCAUUUCAGACUGGGUAACUAGAGUACUUUAGGGAGGGGUAGAAUUCCACGUGUAGCGGUGAAAUGCGUAGAGAUGUGGAGGAAUACCGAAGGCGAAGGCAGCCCCUUGGGAAUGUACUGACGCUCAUGUGCGAAAGCGUGGGGAGCAAACAGGAUUAGAUACCCUGGUAGUCCACGCUGUAAACGCUGUCGAUUUGGGGGUUGGGGUUUAACUCUGGCGCCCGUAGCUAACGUGAUAAAUCGACCGCCUGGGGAGUACGGCCGCAAGGUUAAAACUCAAAUGAAUUGACGGGGGCCCGCACAAGCGGUGGAGCAUGUGGUUUAAUUCGAUGCAACGCGAAGAACCUUACCUACUCUUGACAUCCUAAGAAGAGCUCAGA